rnacentral:rRNA from 1 species
UUUAUGGAGAGUUUGAUCCUGGCUCAGGAUGAACGCUGGCGGCGUGCCUAAUACAUGCAAGUCGAGCGAACGGACGAGAAGCUUGCUUCUCUGAUGUUAGCGGCGGACGGGUGAGUAACACGUGGAUAACCUACCUAUAAGACUGGGAUAACUUCGGGAAACCGGAGCUAAUACCGGAUAAUAUUUUGAACCGCAUGGUUCAAAAGUGAAAGACGGUCUUGCUGUCACUUAUAGAUGGAUCCGCGCUGCAUUAGCUAGUUGGUAAGGUAACGGCUUACCAAGGCAACGAUGCAUAGCCGACCUGAGAGGGUGAUCGGCCACACUGGAACUGAGACACGGUCCAGACUCCUACGGGAGGCAGCAGUAGGGAAUCUUCCGCAAUGGGCGAAAGCCUGACGGAGCAACGCCGCGUGAGUGAUGAAGGUCUUCGGAUCGUAAAACUCUGUUAUUAGGGAAGAACAUAUGUGUAAGUAACUGUGCACAUCUUGACGGUACCUAAUCAGAAAGCCACGGCUAACUACGUGCCAGCAGCCGCGGUAAUACGUAGGUGGCAAGCGUUAUCCGGAAUUAUUGGGCGUAAAGCGCGCGUAGGCGGUUUUAAGUCUGAUGUGAAAGCCCACGGCUCAACCGUGGAGGGUCAUUGGAAACUGGAAAACUUGAGUGCAGAAGAGGAAAGUGGAAUUCCAUGUGUAGCGGUGAAAUGCGCAGAGAUAUGGAGGAACACCAGUGGCGAAGGCGACUUUCUGGUCUGUAACUGACGCUGAUGUGCGAAAGCGUGGGGAUCAAACAGGAUUAGAUACCCUGGUAGUCCACGCCGUAAACGAUGAGUGCUAAGUGUUAGGGGGUUUCCGCCCCUUAGUGCUGCAGCUAACGCAUUAAGCACUCCGCCUGGGGAGUACGACCGCAAGGUUGAAACUCAAAGGAAUUGACGGGGACCCGCACAAGCGGUGGAGCAUGUGGUUUAAUUCGAAGCAACGCGAAGAACCUUACCAAAUCUUGACAUCCUUUGACAACUCUAGAGAUAGAGCUUUCCCCUUCGGGGGACAAAGUGACAGGUGGUGCAUGGUUGUCGUCAGCUCGUGUCGUGAGAUGUUGGGUUAAGUCCCGCAACGAGCGCAACCCUUAAGCUUAGUUGCCAUCAUUAAGUUGGGCACUCUAAGUUGACUGCCGGUGACAAACCGGAGGAAGGUGGGGAUGACGUCAAAUCAUCAUGCCCCUUAUGAUUUGGGCUACACACGUGCUACAAUGGACAAUACAAAGGGCAGCGAAACCGUGAGGUCAAGCAAAUCCCAUAAAGUUGUUCUCAGUUCGGAUUGUAGUCUGCAACUCGACUACAUGAAGCUGGAAUCGCUAGUAAUCGUAGAUCAGCAUGCUACGGUGAAUACGUUCCCGGGUCUUGUACACACCGCCCGUCACACCACGAGAGUUUGUAACACCCGAAGCCGGUGGAGUAACCUUUUAGGAGCUAGCCGUCGAAGGUGGGACAAAUGAUUGGGGUGAAGUCGUAACAAGGUAGCCGUAUCGGAAGGUGCGGCUGGAUCACCUCCUUUCU